rnacentral:misc_RNA from 1 species
GAUGAAGAACGCAGCGAAAUGCGAUAAGUAAUGUGAAUUGCAGAUUUCAGUGAAUCAUCGAAUCUUUGAACGCACAUUGCGCCCCUUGGUAUUCCGGGGGGCAUGCCUGUUCGAGCGUCAUUAUAACCCCUCAAGCUCAGCUUGGUGUUGGGGCCUGCCAACUGGCAGCCCUUAAAAUCAGUGGCGGCGCCAUCUGGCUCUAAGCGUAGUAAUUUCUCUCGCUAUAGGGUCCCGGUGGAUGCUGGCCAACAACCCCCAAUUUUCUAUGGUUGACCUCGGAUCAGGUAGGGAUACCCGCUGAACUUAAGCAUAUCAAUAAGCGGAGGA